GCCGCCGUAGCUCAGUGGUAGAGCGUUCCCUUGGUAAGGGAGAGGUCGGCAGUUCAAUCCUGCCCGGCGGCACCA
rnacentral:tRNA from 1 species